GACCCCACUGGGCUUGCCAGGGCGAUUCGCUGAGCCACGACCCACUCUACACGCUGCCAGUAGCGCAAACAUGCAAUCCGUGCUUCCCUACACCACGAACCCGGCGCAGAUUGUGUCAAUCGAGAAGCUCAAGCUCAUAAACCCUUCCUCAGCAGCUGCGACCGGGCCGUAUGUGAAUGUGCGGAAUCCGAAACUGGUUGUCGGAGGGCUUCUGCACAACUGGGAUGCAGAAGCGGCGCACGCGCUUCUUAACGCUCCAAAGUCCGUGCAGACGUGGGACCUGUCUUGGACGGAGGACGAGACGAACUGGGAAGAGCGGGUGCACCGCUGCACCUACCCAGAGGAAGUAGAGGACCUACUGCCGGCAAAGUGGAUCGGCUACCGUGUCCAGAGCGAUGUGGAUGAGACCCUGGCGCGCGUUUGCAAGUUGUGCACGGCGCUGGUGGACAGGUUCGUUUCGCUCUCGCAGGGCAACAACGCGAACGUGUCUACUGCUAAGUGGCGCCAGCGUCAGGCUCUGUAUGACAGGCUCGGCGCCGUGAUGGAGCUACUGGAAGCGUCCGUUGGCGAAGCGAUCCCCAUUCUGAAGCUGAAGGACCCAGAGUUCAUCCAAAACUGCUGGCGCCAGAUGCAGGAUGAUGAGCGAGUAGAAAUUAUGUCUGUCCUGGGGACCAAAGAUUACGACUAGUCCUGCAAUGCUGGGGCCACGCCCCUCCGGCCUUUAUCUUCGCUUUCUCAUAUGUUUCGCACUACAGAAGAGCCGACCGCCUGCUGGUCGGCUGCUGCAGGAGGCGGGUGUCUUCAUUGCAACUGCGACAGGGACUCUGGAGGGACGAGGAACGCCUCAUUUUGUUUUGGUGUUGCACACUUCAAUCGCUAGAGCGAGCAGCGUGAUGCUCGUAUUUGAUGAUUUUGUUUCUCCCUUUUUUAGAUGUCGAUGCCGAGCGCACUCCGUACUCAAGGAAAGAGGUAGCGUUUUGUAGCCGGAUGAUGUGCUCGCGUCUGUUUCACGAAUCUCUGGGCAUAGUUAUCAUCUCCCCGUCGCGUUCUUCUGCUUCGCCGGCCCUGGUAAUCGCCGAUGCCUUUUACUCUGCGAUGCGACUGCAAGUCAUGCUGGCAGUGCCAUUCGUACAACCAAAGUUUGCUUCUAUUAUCCCGAUUCUUCUCCGCGCUGUGCCGCUGUUGCCCCCUUCAUGGCCACUUUUGCAUUUCGCAG
rnacentral:misc_RNA from 1 species